CGGACAGGAAAGGUGAACGAUGAAGGGAAGAGUCUAGGGGAAGGAGGAUGUAGUAACACGGUAUUAGCUGUGCAAAAUUUCCGAAGCUUACAUGAGACGAUGCGUUAAUUGGUGUGGUACUAAUUAGCCUCAUUAACCUUUCUCUCGAUUCGCGAGUAACACUUGGAAAUAGGCCACGCUUGCAAAUCGUUCCAUAAGGAGAUACUUUCUAAACGACGACGACGAUGACGACGACGACGACGACGACGACGACGACGACGACGACGACGACGACGACGACGACGACGACGACGAUGAUGACGACGAUGAAAGAGGACAACUACGUCAACGAUGAAAUACUUCUAUCGAUAUUAAGAAUACCAACUAUAGAUACUCGCAUCGUUCUCGAUUUUGAGAGUCAUAUAUAUAUAUAUAUGUAUGUAUGCUUUAAAUUACCUUUUUUUUACCUUAACAUAAAGAAAAAAAAAUACGAUAGUAAAAAGUAAAUGGCUCGUACGUACAUACGUACAAACGUAGGAAGAUAGGUAGUUUGUUAUCUAUAUAACACAUAUAAGUAGUUAUGUAGACAUGUUGUUUACAGGAAAUGAGCUACUAUUAGAUCUAUUAUAAAUAACAUAAGAAAAAGAAAUGUGUACAAUAAAAUGCGAUCUUUUCUUUACGACGAUUUGACCACGAUGUGAUGGUGACAUCGAGUAGUAACAGGUAAUAAAGUUAAGUAAUAUUUACUAACAGGUAAGGUAGGGCCGCGCUCGUAGCAGGUCCUCGGGGAAUGCAAUGAUCUUUUCUGAAUCGUAUCGCGACAGAGCAGCCCACGAAGCGCAUAAAAUGCGUACGUUCAAAAAAAAAAAAAAAAAGGAAGAGAAGAGAGAGAGAGAGAGUUGAAUAAAUUAUUCAUUCGAAAGAUAUGAAACUUCGAAACUGUUUUCUCUCUCUCUAUCAAAAAAGAAAAAAGAAAAAUAAAGAUAAAUAAGUAAAUAAAUAAAAAAUAAAUAAAAGGAAUAAAAAAUCUAUUCGAGUAACGACGAUGUCAAUUGAUGAUCCUUAUACGACAUUAUUAUUAUUAUCAUCUAUCUAUUAUUUAAAAAAAAAAAAUUUUUUUUCUUCGUUUUCUUCUCCUUACUAUUAUUAUUAUUAUUAUUAUUAUUAUUAUUAUUAUUAUUAUUAUUAUUAUUAUUAUUAUUAUUAUUAUUAUUAUAAAAUAUGGCUUUGGCUUUGGACUAAUUAAACGGAUGGAUUUACAUUGAACGGCUCGUCUUUAUCGGCGAUUUCCCCUUCGAUCAAUCCAGAUUCUCGGCGUCAUUGCACAAAGAUAGAUUCGCAACUACCCCAUAAUGUACGUCACCGAGUUUAUGAGGCUUGAAAAGGCCAUUCGGCUGCACCUUUGGCGGUCGAGCUAAAGGACGUGAUUAUACGAGUCGCUGAAAAGAGAGCUCUCGCUCCUUUCCGCGUAUAGCUCGAAAUCGAUGAUACGAGUCGUCGACUUUAUCCCCUGCGGAGAGAGAGAAAGAAAGAGGGAGAAAGAGGUAGCGGAGGAGGGCUUCGCAAAGAGUUCGACGAUGUAUAGAAACCCAUUAACGCACAAAAUGGUAUUACCAAGUAAACACGAUUCUUUCUCGCAGCUUUCCCGUUGCGUCGAUUUUUGUUUCUUUACUUCUUUUUUUUCUUUCUCCUUUCCUUCCUUUUUUUUUACCUCUCUCCUCUUUAUUUUUUGACGGUUCCAUAGAGAUCAUUCUUAAAGUUUACGUGACGUUUCACUUCA